ACGGGACACCUGCAUCUGCCAACAAGACUGGAAGCAGGUGAGGCACACAGAGGGGGAGGCCCGCAGCUGCGUGGGAGGAGGGGUGGUCUGAGGGACGUGGGAUGCCGGGAAUGAGGCUGGUUUGCAGGUUGGCGCAUGGACAUUUUCCCAGAAAGGGACAGAGACGGCGAAGUUUGACGGUCUGGAAAGCAGAGACCAGCAGGGCUGACUGCUUGGGAGCGCCUCUCGGGAGGUCCGAGAAGAGAACCGCGAUCUGUUUCAGCACCGGGGCUCAGGACAGUUCCCAGCGGGCUCCGUUUCGUCUCCAGAACCCUGGACAGCUCCUCCAGCUUGGAAUGCACUCCCUCCACCUCCAACCAGAGCUCCCCACAACUGACCCUGCCUUCUUCUGCAAGCUCCAUUUCAUCAAGGGAAACGAUCCUUAUUGCCUCACCAUUUCCCACGUGAAGUCUGUAUUGACAUUCUCAUAGACCUGGGAUAUUGUGUCUGCAGCACAUAGUCCAAUUAUUUUCAUGUUAUCUACUGACAGGUCUAUUUGUCUCCCUGUUACACUGUGAGCUCCGUGAGGGCAGAAACAAUGUUAGUAUUUUCACUGCUGUGUCCCCAGCGCCUGGUCCGGGGCCCGGCACACAGCAGGCAUAUAAUAAGCAUGUGUUGAAUCAAUAAAGGCAUCAAAGAAUAAACCAAUACAUCAAUCAAUAAAUGAAUGAAUGGCCUCAGCAC
rnacentral:lncRNA from 1 species